rnacentral:lncRNA from 1 species
ACCCACCCCGCCCUCCCAGCGGCGCGCGCCCGCCGAGAUUCUAGGUGGACACACAACUUGGAUAUCAACAGGGAGCAGAAAACAAACCCACUAGCAGGACCAAAAGGCAGACCCAUCAGCAGAACACAGGCGGCAGCUUCCACAAGUAACUCCAAAACUGAAAGUCAAAUCCAGGAGAAGACUGAGGAAGCUCCAUUUUCUUUGAGCACUUAAUUGUAAAUUAAGAUUUGCUGAUGAUGAUGGGCUAAUUUAAGCUACCGUGGAAAGAGGGAAGAAAUGGAAGCUGCUGAUCGUAGGAAGCAGUACCUGUACUGCGCAGGGUUGCAGUGACCUAACACCAAGAAAUAAAAACUCUGGAAAACUAGCCC